AUGCAGUCUACAGAAAUGAUUAUAGGACAAUAAAACAAAUCACAUGAAAUAAUAGGGGAGUCCAUAGGGGGUCAUCCCCACCCCCUUCAAUUUGAGAAUAUGUAUUUUAUCUUGUAAACGGUCCAGAUCCCCACCCCUAAACCAUAUAUAUUCUUGAAUGGGACGAUAAAACAAAUCAAAUGAAAUUAAAGGAAAGUCCCCGGGGGUCAUCCCCACCCCGUUCAAUUUGAGAAUGUGCUAUUAUCUUGUAAACGGUCCAGAUCCCCACCCCUAAACCAUAUAUAUUUUUGUAGGGGACAAUAAAACAAAUGAAAUGAUAUAAAAAGGAAAUUCCGAGGGGGGUCACCCCACCACCUCUUGUUUGAAAACUUGUAAACGGUCAACAUCCCCACCCCAUAACCAUAUAUAUUCUUGAAAGGGACGAUAAAACAAAUCAAAGGAAAUUAAAGGGAAGUCCCCGGGGGUCAUUCCCAACCCGUUCAAUUUGAGAAUGUGCUAUUAUCUUGUAAAAGGUCCAGAUCACCACCCCUAAACCAUAUAUAUUCUUGUAGGGGACAAAAAAACAAAUGAAAUGAUAUAAAAGGAAAGUUCUUAGGGGGUCAGCCCACCCCUUCUUGUUUGAAAACUUGUAAACGGUCAACAUCCCCACCCCUAAACCAUAUAUAUUCUUGUAUGGAACAAUAAAACUAAUCAAAUGAAAUUAAAAGGGAGUUCCUGGGAGUCACCCUUACCCCGUUCAAUUUGAGAAUGUGCUAUUAUCUUGUAAACAGUCCAGAUCCCCACCCCUAAACCAUAUAUAUUCUUGUAGGGGACAAUAAAACAAAUAAAAUAAAAUAAAAGGGAAGUCUCGAGGGGGUCACCCCACCCCCUCUUGUUUGAAAACUUGUAAACGGUCAACAUCCCCACCCCUAAACCAUAUAUUUGUUGGUAGGGGACAAUAAAACAAAUGAAAUGAAAUAAAAGGGAAGUCCUGAGGGGGUCACCCCACCCCCUCUUGUUUGAAAACUUGUAAACGGUUAACAUCAUCAACCCUAAACCAUAUAUAUUCUUGUAUGGGACAAUAAAACAAAUCAAAUGAAAUGUACGUAAAGUACCUGGGGGUCACCACCACCCCUUCCUGUUUAAAUACUUAUAAAUGGUGGAGAUCCCCACCCCUAAGCCAUAUAUAUUCUUGUAUGGGACAAAAAAAUCAAAUCAAAUGAAUAUGGGACCAUAUGAAUGGUGAGUUAUGAGAGCUUUGUUUGGGAGACUUCGUAACAGCAUCCUGUUACAAUUACUUCUUGUUUAAUACUUAUAUUUUAAA
rnacentral:lncRNA from 1 species